rnacentral:tRNA from 1 species
GGGGCGGUAGCUCAGUGGUAGAGCACUUGCUUUGCAAGCAAGGGGUCAGGGGUUCGACUCCCCUUCGCUCCAC